rnacentral:tRNA from 1 species
GCGUCAUUAGCUCAGUCGGAUAGAGCAACCGCCUUCUAAGCGGUAGGUCAUUGGUUCGAAUCCAAUAUGGCGUGCCA